UCCGCCGGGCCCCACCCAGCUCCAGCCCGCUGCCUGCGAGUGGUUCCCAGCUGCUGACCUAGCGGCUUCUGCCCUCUCCAGUGCGGGAACCCCGGUGUUGGCCCCUUAGGUUCCGGGGUCCCUCCCCGACGCACUGGGAAGAACUAUAUAGGGGUGACGGUGGAGAAGCUCUCCGAUUUGGUGGCCGCGUUUUCGGAGCACUAGACGGCCUGCUUUCUGUAUUAGGAUGUGAUUCCUCGAUCCCCAGCCGGUCGUACUAGAAGAAAGAGUUGCCGUGGUCUUGGUGUCUCUUCGCAGCAAUAGAACACUGGCUGAGAUAGCCACCCCUAAGGAGAAGGCACUUGGGUAGGUUCAGGAGAUAAAGAUGAUUGCCAAGAAGCCUACAACCACAGCUAAGAGGGCCCCGGGCCUGAGGGUUUCAAUGUUUAGCUCUGGCUGUCCUGGAACUCGCUCCUGAGGUCAUCAUACCUCUCAACAUUAUCAUUAAGACUUGAGCAAGUGGAUUUGAAGAUUCAGUUCUCCACAGGAGAUGAGAAUGAGUUCCUUCUCUGGGUAAUGACACCAGUCCCCUGCCCGGGACCCCGGUAAGGCUCCAGUGUGACCGUCAUUGUCUUCCCUUCCUCCCAGUCACACUGAAUCUCAGCAUUCAUCCUUCCAACUCCAUAUCAUCUAGCAUAACCAACACUGUUGGUAAUGGCAUAGAUCUCCAAGCUGAUGCUAAAGUGUUAAUUCCGUGAGUUUAUAGACAGAAAGGUCCUGGGUUCAAAUCCACUCUCUAUUUCUGUGGACUUCAUAAAUCACUUUGGGGGGAAAAGGGAGGGGGUGACUCGAGUUGCCGGUAUAAAAGAGUAGCCCGUGUGGGGACGUGGUAGACUUAGCGGGACUGUAAAAAGUUGUUUAGAAGCCUGCCUCCCGGUUCUUGGACAGCUGCCUGAACCCAGACAUCCCCCUUAUCUAAGCCAUAAAAUAAGGCAAAAGGAGACAUGCAUUACAUGUGGAAGUGUCCUGGGGGCCUUGUCCAUCUAGAAGAUAGCUUGGUCUCUAAGCCCUGGGUCAGAGGUUAGCAAGCACGUAUGCAUGAGAAACCCUGUGAGUAAAUCAAAGGAAAGAAAGGCCUGGGGUGUGGUCCGAAGGGGCUUGGCUGGAAAUUGCUUUUCUGAAGCCCUGGUUGGAGCGUGGAAAGUGCAGGAGGAACCCAAGAGGCCACUAUCAAAGGAGUGAUGCCCCAGGGGUGCUAUGUAGUCCUUCAGCUCCUGAGCCAGGGCGCCCUCUAGUGCCUUCCUGAUUGUCUACAUUUUUGCUUUGUUUAACCUGUCUUAUAUAGACCUAGGCUGGCC